rnacentral:rRNA from 1 species
UGGGGAAUAUUGCACAAUGGGCGCAAGCCUGAUGCAGCGACGCCGCGUGGGGGAUGACGGCCUUCGGGUUGUAAACUCCUUUCGCUAGGGACGAAGCUUUUUGUGACGGUACCUAGAUAAGAAGCACCGGCUAACUACGUGCCAGCAGCCGCGGUAAUACGUAGGGUGCGAGCGUUGUCCGGAAUUACUGGGCGUAAAGGGCUCGUAGGUGGUUUGUCGCGUCGUCUGUGAAAUUACGGGGCUUAACUCCGGGCGUGCAGGCGAUACGGGCAUAACUUGAGUACUGUAGGGGUAACUGGAAUUCCUGGUGGAGCGGUGAAAUGCGCAGAUAUCAGGAGGAACACCGAUGGCGAAGGCAGGUUACUGGGCAGUUACUGACGCUGAGGAGCGAAAGCAUGGGUAGCGAACAGG